AGCAGCAGCUCAGAGCAGCAAGGUUCUCUUGGGGAUGAUCUUGUUCUACCUGCGGGCUGAGACCCAGAGGGCCCCAAAGGCACGUGGCAGAGCACCUCUGGCCCUUGACCCCUGCCGGUGACCUCAGGGAGGUUCCGGCACCCUUCACAGACCAAGGGAGGGGGUGUAUGCCGAGCUCUGCUCAAGACACAGCGAGAGGACGAACCAGCCCCGCUCUCGGCACUGCGGACACCAGUACCGAGCGUCUGAGCUCCUCCAGCCCCGCAGGGCUGGGCUCGCUACCCGCUCGCACAGGCGGGAAUUAGGCCCAGGGACGCCGAGGGUCUGCAGGACGCGGCACCGGCGGGAAGCGGGCGGCUCCUCCGGCAUCUGACUGCCCCGCCCAGGCUCCGGCCCAGGGCUCUGAGCCUCUGCUACCCGCCCAGUCGCGCGUCGCCGGGACCAUCGCGCCGCGGGGUGGCGCGUUUCAGUGCCUAUUGGCACAGCUUCCAGCCGCCCCGUAGCCACCCACGCCUUGCGCUCGCUGCCGAAGCCAGGCUGUUGUCCCGGUGGCUCCCGGCUCGUCCCCAGAGCCCUGACAGCCUGGCAGCUGUCACGCCCCGGGCACGGCAGCCCAGGGGAAAAGCGAAGAUCUCCUCGCAAGAGAGACGGUUCGCUUCAUAAUUCCUGCUGAGACGACACGCUUCCCCCGCCCUCGCCCGCCGUCCGAGUCUCUCCGCCACUGGGAGGCCGAUUCAAGCAGCCAGCUGACAGCCGCGCUGAUGUAAAAAUAGAGAGAACAUUCCAGUACCCAACCAGGUCCAAGGUGGGAAUGGAAUGAGAGGAAGUGAGAAGCUGCAGCCCAUGUCACACUCCCGCCUCAGAGCCCAGGCUGCACCCCCUCAGGGCCAGGACUGCCCUGCCCCACUCCUGCCUGGGACCACCAGUCUGCCUGGUUGCCACACCAGCCGCAGCUCCCAAGCUCCGGUGCCCAUUUCAGUGAGCAUCUGCAGGCCAUAAACCUCCAGCCUCCCCACUUCACCUGCUGCUGCCUACUCACCUUCAAAGUACCUCGACCACCCUGGCUCAGGAGCCCACCCCCCUUGGCUUCUUCUGUACUGUCACAUCCCACGCCUCUCUCGCAGCCCAUGCUAAAUGGACAGGCUUGCAUUGUUGUUUGAUGAAUUCUGUUUCCCACUCUGCACUGAGGGCUCCCUGAGGCUGAGACCUGGACUCUUCGGCUGGCCUCCUUGUCUCCCAGCACGGUGCCUGCACAUAGUAGGUGCCCAGUAAAAGUUUGUUGAGUAAAUCAGCAAACUUAUAGCUGCAGGUGUGCCAACGAGCAGGGUAAGAGUGGAGUGAUAGAGUUCUGGGUGCUUUUGGAAAAUGUGCUAAAGGAUAAUCAAGACUAGGGACUUCCCUGGUGGUGCAGUGCGUAAGAAGCCACCUGCCAGUGCAGGAGACACGGGCUCGAUCCCUGGUCCAAGAAGAUCCCACAUGCUGUGGAGCAACUAAGCCCGUGCGCCACAACUACUGAGCCAGUGCUCUGGAGCCCGCGAGCCACAACUACUGAAGCCCGCGCCCUAGAGCCCGUGCUCCGCAACAAGAGAAGCCACCACAACGAGAAGCCGGCGCACCGCAACGAAGAGCAGCCCCCGCUCGCCGCAACUAGAGAAAGCCCGUGCGCAGCAGUGAAGACCCAACGCAGUCAAAAAAACAAACAAACAAACAAAAAAAGCCUACACACUCCCAACACAGGGGGCCCAGGUUCUAUCCCUGGUCAGGGAACUAGAUCCCACAUGCAUGCCGCAACUGAGUUCACAUGCCAUGACUAAGGAGCCCGCGAGCCGCAACUAAGACCCGACGCAACCAAGUAAAUAAAUAAUUUUUUUUAAAAAAGAAUAAUCAAGGCUAGAUGUUGGAUGUCUUAGCUUCUCCAGCUGAGGGAAGGUCGGCGCCACACCUGCGUCCUUGGAUAACCAGGAAGACGCUGGAGAAAAAGGACACCUCCCUGGCUAUGAACCACAACCCUGUGUUCUCGUGCGGCUAGAAACCACUCUGUUUGCUUCAAAUUGCCAGGAUUACCCUUUGGGAAAAAUAGGACCACCCAGUGCAGGGCUGGGACUGGGGUGCAGCAAGGGAAGUGCCCAGGGGCGCAGAGACUUGAGCAAGGGCUGUUUGUGAGGGCUCCACCCUGUCCAGGCCGGACCACUGCGCUCGCUCUCAUGUCAGUGAGAGGCGCCCUGUCAUUUCAGAGGUGCUGAGAUCCCCAGCUUUCAGAUUCCUGGCUUCUACCGCCGGGGCAGCGUAGGAGGAAAUGGCUACACAGCGUCUCCCAGGGGAGGCUCUGGGCGUCCCUGGUGAGCCCAGCGCGCUGGCCUCCAGGAGCCUGGUUCUCCACCGGCCUGCCCUGCACCGGCACCAGAGGCCGCAGACGAAACUCAGAGGAAAACCUAGCUUCCAGAGACCCUUCCAAAGACAGAGGGUUAGCACAGUAGGCUUCCUUUGUAAGCAUUUGCUGGAGAAGUUCCGGUGCGGUCUAGUUAUUCCGCGUAGUGCCCCUUGUGACUACAAUAGAAGAGACGCUGGGUAAAUGCGCGCUGAUGAAUGGGCCGGCGGGAGGGGGAGGGGAGGCGGAACUGGGCACUCUGGCUUAGGAAGUGCAAAGUGUAAACAGAGCCUCCUCAGAGCUCCCUAGGGAACCUGCAUGUGGAGAAACUCUUUAUAGCCCUGGAGUCUCCACUUCUCUUUGCUCAUCCCCUUGUCCUGCAUCCUGAGGGGCUUCCCAACAGCCUCCCCUUCCUCUCCCAGGGGUCCUGAGCGGGAGGGGGGGGGUCACAGACUGUCAGAGGAACGGGCACCCCCUAGAGCAGGGCUUCCCCCUCCUGUUAGCGAUGGAAACCAACGUCCUCCGCUGAGCCAGGGCGGGAAACCAGAGAUGCUCUGCCCAGUGCCAUCUGCCAAGCUCACUCAGGAUGCCUGUGGGGCUCAGACGGGAGAAAUGAAAGGAGCAGUUUAGUCCUUUCAGCGGGGGCCACCUCGGGAUCUUGCUUGACACAGCCGUUCUCCGACCCCUGUCUCCAUGUCCGCACCUCCCACCCCCCGCGCGGCUGCAAAUGGAUCUGCCCGAACUCAGCUCUGCUGCUGGAAAUACCAUUCAGGGCUGAGGGCCUAGAGGGGCCUUUUCUUCUCUGUUUAUUUAUUUUUUUCAUUUUUCACUUAAGUAUUUUUAAUAUUAACAUAACACUUAUAUCUUGAAAAUAAUAAAGUUGAAAAGAAUAAUGAAGUAUAAAAAAGGCAGAAAACAUCACCUAUCAUCCCCCCCCAUACAGAAACCAUCUUGGUGAUUUAUCACUUUGACCGAGUUGCUUUGUUCUUUUGCCCUUCAUUUUUUCCCUGGUCCAAUGGGUCCCUGCUGACACAGGGCCCAUUAACAUUGGGCUGAAGGGCUCCAGGCAGCUCUGUCUCCCAGCUGGUGCCCUGUUAUCCUGGGGAAUUUUCAGACCCAGUGUAUUUUUAGGCCCAGGGAAAAUAUAACAGCUUUAAAAUAAGGCAACAGAAUUUGGGGCAAAAUUCCUUAAGCCCAUGUGUGAGAUUUGAGCUGUGUUUCAAGGUUGGCUAAAGCCAGGCCUGCACCGUGAAAGAUGUUGAGUUCUAUUUUUAGGGAAUAUGACAGGCUGAGUUCUUGGAACAACAUUCCUGUGGAAAACAACUAAAAAGCCAGAUCAAGUAUUUUGAACAUUUUACAAGCACUGAAGAGUUGAGAAGAUAGUAAAGAAUUACCAGGCCAAAAUCUGAGGGGAACCAGCAGGACAGUGAUUCUAGAAACAGCUCUUGCCCUGAGAGUGUUUGUUUAUCUCACUUACCUUGCACUUGGGGUUUAACAGCUUUGCAAAGCUUGAUGCCUCCCUCGUGAAGCUGGGACACUGAGGGUUACACCACGGGAAAGCAUGAAGGAGUGAGCCAGGGGUAAGCCCUGCCCCACACCAACACUCGAGGAUCAGACAGGCGAGUGGCCCUGGUACCAAGUGCAUGGUAGUGGCGUGGGGUGCAGAUUCCUGGGAAAUUGUAAACUCAGGCUGAGUUCUCACAUGCAUUUGCAGCCCACCUCAUGUGCGGGGACCAAGAGACCUCAGGCUGUAGAUUUAGUUUACCAUCAUCUCAGAUUAGUGGUAUCCUAGGAGAUCCCUGGCAGAAGCAAAUACAAGUCCUUUCCUGAGAGAGUCACCUUUAUUCUGGGUUUCCAAGUGUCCCAGAAAUAAUUCUUCAAAGACAGUGAACGCGACACUGUCAAGUACACAUGGAAAAAGGUAGUGUGAGUAUGAACCAGAACAAUAGGUAAUAGAAAGAAACUCCAAGACUUCAGCCACUAGGAUUAUGAGAUUCAUAUUAUUAAAAAACUAUGCUUGUUCUAUUAAAGAAGCAAGAGACAAGCUAACGAAUAUCCACAGGAAGCAGAAAACUAUGAAAAUAUGAUCUAGUUAAUUUGAAAAUAAAAUAAUUUCUAAAAUUUUCUAAAAUUUAAAAAUUCAAUACCAGAAAUUUAAAACUGAGCAGAAGGGUUUAACAAUAGAUUAAGUAAGUUAAAGGGAGAAUUAGUAAAUUGGAAGAUCAACUGGAGGAAAUUACCCACAAUGCAAUUCAGAUAAACCUCCUAAAAUGAAAAAUACAAAAAAAUUUUUUUUUUAAUUUAAAAAUUAAGGGCUUCCCUGGUGGCGCAGUGGUUGCGCGUCCGCCUGCCGAUGCAGGGGAACCGGGUUUGCGGCCCGGUCUGGGAGGAUCCCACGUGCCGCGGAGUGGCUGGGCCCGUGAGCCAUGGCCAAUGAGCCUGCGCGUCCGGAGCCCGUGCUCCGCAACGGGAGAGGCCACAACAGAGGGAGGCCCGCAUACCAAAAAAAAAAAAAAUUAAAAAAAACCUUUUUUAAUGUAGAGGGUAUCAGAAGUUCUGACAUUUUUUGCCUGCAAUUUUUUCUUUUGAUUAAAAUGUACACGAAAUGCACAAAUCUUAAUUGUACAGUCACUGAAUCUGACCUUUGUAACCCAAUCCUUUAUCAAGAUACAGAACACUUCCAUAAUUCCAAAGAGUUCCCUCAUGCCACUUCUCAAUAUCCAUCCCACUCCCAGAGACAACCAUUGUUCUGAUUUUUUUCUAUACCAUAGACUAGUUUUGCCUGUUCUAGAAUAUCAUAUAAAUGGAAUCUUACUGUAUACAUGUGUCAGUUUUCUUUCACUCAGGGUAUUCUUGAGAUCCAGUAUGUUGUAUGUGCAUUUGCAGUCGUUCCUCUUUAUUGCUAAAUUGUAUUCCAUUAUACAGCUGCACACGGUUUGUUUAUCCAUUUUUCUAUUGAUGGACACCUGAUCUGUUUCCAGUUUUUACUAUUAUCAGUAAAGCUGCUAUCACAAUUCUUGUAUAAGUCCUUUUGUGACUAUGUCUUUAAUCUUAGUGGGUAAAUUCCUAGGAAUAAAAUUAUCAGGGAAGCCCUAUGUUUAGUUUUAUAGGAAACUGCCAAAUGUUUUCCAAAGUGGUUGUACCAUUUUACAUUCCCACUCAGAGUAUGAAAGUUCCAGUUGCUCCACAUACUUGCCAAUAUUUGGUGUCAAUCUUUUUAAUUUUAGCCAUAAUAGUCGGUAUAUAAUAGUAUAAGAUUGUUCUUUUAUUUUGCAUCUAUCUGAUGACUAAAAACUUUGAGCACUUUUUUAUGUGCUUAUUGUUUUUUUCGAUUGUGGUAAAAAAAAUACAUAACAUUAAAUUUAGCAUUUUAAACAUCUGUAAGUUCUAUUGCAUUAUGUGUAUUUACAUUGUUGUGCAACCAUCACCACCAUCCAUCCACAGAAACUUUUCAUCUCCCCAAACUGAAAUUCAGUUCCCAUUAAAAGCUAACUCCCCAUUCCCGCCUCCCCACCAGCCCCUGACAAUCACCCUUCUACUUUUUCACUAGGAAUCUGACUCCUCUGAGUACCUCAUAUAUGUGGAAUCAUACAGUAUUUGUCCUUUUGUGACUGGCUUAUUUCACUUAAUAUAAUGUCUUCAGAUGCAUCCAUGUUGUAGCAUGGGUCAGAAUCUCCUUCCUUUUUAAGAGUGAAUAAUAUUCCAUUCUACAUAUACACCACAUUUUAUCUAUUCCUCCAUUAAUGGACACUUGGGCUGCUUCCACCUUUUGCCUAUUGGGAUAAUCCUGCUAUGAACAUGGGUGUGCAAAUACCUCUUUGAGUCCCUGCUUUUAUUUCUUUGGGGUAUAUACUCAGAAGUAGAAUUGCCACAUCAUAUGGUAAUUCUAUUUUUUAGGAAUUGCUAUAACAUUUUUCCAUAGCGGCUAUACCAUUUUACAUUCUCACCAGCAAUGCACAAGCGUUCCAGUUUCUCCAUACUCUUGCCAAUACUUGUUAUCUUGUUCUGUUUUUUUGUUUGUUUGUUCUUGACAACAGCCAUUGAUUACAUUGAGUAUGAUUGUAUGCUUAUUUUAUUAGCCAUUUAUAUAUUCUUUUGUGAAGUGUCUGUUCAAAAUAUUUUGCCCAUUUUAUUGCAUUUUUGUCUGUUAUUGAAUUUUAUAGGUUAUUUUUAUAUAGGCUGGAUACCAACCCUUUGUCAGAUACAUGUUUUGCAAAUAUUUUCUCUCAGUAUGUGGCCUGAUUAUUCAUUUUAUUAGUGGUGUUCUUUGAUGAGCAACUAUUUUAAACUUGGUGAAGCCCAAUUUGUCAAUUCCUCAGAAUGAGAGGAGAGAAAAAAUAGGAUUGAAGGCAAUGUUUGAAGAAACAAGGGCUGAUAAUUUCCCAAACCUGUUGAAAGACAGCAAUCCACAUAUUCAAAAGCUUGUAAAUCCCAAACGAGAUAAGUAAAAAGAAACCUACCAUUAGGUAUGACAUAGAGAAACUGCAGAAUAUCAAAGACAAAGAGAAAAAAAAUUUUUUAAGCUGAAAUGUGGGGAAAUGGAAAUGCAGAUUUCCUCAAAGGAGGACUAGACUGACUGCUGACUUUUCAACAGCAACAAUAGCACUUAGAGGGCAGAGAAAUGCCAUCUUCAAUAUGCCAAAAGAAAUAACUGUUAUCCAGGAAUUCUUUAUGAGAAAAAAAUGUCUUUCAAGAAUGAGGGAGAAAUGAGCACAUAAGCAAACAAAAACGGAAAGAUUUUGCAACCAACACACCAUCACAAAAGGAAAUUCUAAAGACUGUGCUUCAGGCAUUAGGGAAUAAUCACCCUUGGAAGGGACCCACAGGGAAGAAGAAAUGAGCAGAAAAAAUUAUUAAUAUACAAGAAAAUCUAAGCUCUAUAAGACAAUUACAGUAUUUUGAGGAGGUUAAAACCAUGACUGAUGUAUGAUAAAUAAUAAUAUGUAGGGGUUUAUAAAGAUAGAAUGAAAAUAUGUGAUGAGUCAGGAGGAAAAUAAAUGGAUGAAUUAGCAGUCCUCAGGGGUCUUGUGUUGUCCAAGGAAAGUAAAAGUAUUGAUUAAGUUUAGACUCUGAACAGGCUGGACUAAUAGUACAAAAUGAAAUGAUAGAUUUAAACCCAAAUAUGCCAGUAAUCACAUUGAAUAUAAAUGGACAAAGUGUCUCAAUUAAAAGACAAAAUUGUCAGGCUGGGAAAACUAUUCAGUCUUAUGCUGUUUACAAGAAAUGUAUA